AGAGAGCAUCUUCCAAAGCGACCCUACAGGUAAUGGCAGUAUAGUAUAGUUGCAGUACAGUAUAAAGGCCAACUGUGCAGUAUGCUACAAUUUAAUAAUAUUACUCAUCACCAACAUUAAUUUCUGGGAAUGUAACGUUGGCUUAUAAAAAUACUUUAUCUGCUCAGGAGGAAUCAAACCCAGUGUACACCAUCGUCAACUCUACCACCUCCACCCCAAACACUUUUUCCUGAAUUGUUGAAAGUAAAAACAGAAGUGGCCGCUCACCCUGGAAAGCCAAACGAUGCCCCAGUAGUGCUGCCUACUAAACAUACUCAAUACACAUCGACUUCAGGAGCUUCCAUCAAGGGCCAUCCAUUGGCCGUGAACAUGACCAGUUAUCCCCCUCUGAGCAAACCCAGCCCUGCAGGACUAAAGCCUCCACCCAAUAGGCCUGUUAUUCUUCACAGUGGGAAGACUGGAGAUGGUUAUCAGCAAUUCUAUCUGCAGACAAACAGUACAAUAUAUCCAGGUAAAACAAGAACCGCUAACUUGCAUUUUAAAGUUCACACCUAUUCUUUGAUAUGGAUGUCGUUUUUGACAAUUUGACCAUACUUUUUUAAGUGCAAAUGUGGUUUCCAUGAUAUCAAAUUGUCCAUUCUACAGGGUAGCAAUGACUAAUUUGUUUAGAGGAGUCACUUUUAGCUUCACUUGUCCAUAAAUGGUAAAAGGAGAAGAUACCUUAGAGAUCUAAAAAAAGCUGUGGAUGAUGUCAUGAUGUUCUCAAACGAGCUCAUGUUGCUCGUCUGCUAAUGAUCCAAUAGGGGGAGCUGUAGGACUCGAUAUGAACCCUGGUAUAUCUACCCUACAAUCUCUUUGGUAUCUACUU
rnacentral:lncRNA from 1 species